AGAUGUCCACUGAACCUUAUCAUUUAGAGGAAGGAGNNGUCGUAACAAGGUUUCCGUAGGUGAACCUGCGGAAGGAUCAUUGUCGA
rnacentral:rRNA from 1 species